rnacentral:miRNA from 1 species
GGUGUGGCCUUGUUGGGUUAAUUGUGUCACUGGGGACAGGCUUUGAGGUCUCAGAUGCUCAAGCCAGGCCCAGUGUCGCUCUCUCUUCCUGCUGCCUGCAGAUCC